AUGUGUGUCGACUUCACCAACCUCAACAAGGCCUGCCCCCAAGAUCCGUUCCCGCUUCCACGCAUUGACCAGAUCGUUGACUCCACCGCCGAGUGCGAUUUGCUGUGCUUCCUAGAUGCGUUCUCGGGCUACCACCAGAUCAAGAUGGCAGUAGAAGAUGUGGAGAAGACCACCUUCCUGACCCCAUGUGGGGUGUACUGCUAUACUUGCAUGCCUUUCGGACUGCGCAACGCGGGAGCGACCUUUCAGCGGUUGAUGCACAUCGCCUUAGGGCGGCAGCUCGGGAGAAACGCGGAGGCCUACGUCGACGACAUUGUGGUGAAGUCUCGGGAGGAGAGAACCUUGACUCAAGACCUGGAGGAGACCUUCGCAAGCCUGCGCCAUGUGAACUUGCAACCCAACCAGAGAAAUGCGUAUUCGGUGUCCCUUCCGGCAAGCUGCUGGGUUUUCUCGUAUCCCACAGAGGGAUCGAGGUGA
rnacentral:rRNA from 1 species